rnacentral:rRNA from 1 species
GGGUUGUGAGGUUAAGCGACUAAGCGUACACGGUGGAUGCCCUGGCAGUCAGAGGCGAUGAAGGACGUGCUAAUCUGCGAUAAGCGUCGGUGAGGUGAUAUGAACCGUUAUAACCGGCGAUUUCCGAAUGGGGAAACCCAGUGUGUUUCGACACACUAUCAUUAACUGAAUCCAUAGGUUAAUGAGGCGAACCGGGGGAACUGAAACAUCUAAGUACCCCGAGGAAAAGAAAUCAACCGAGAUUCCCCCAGUAGCGGCGAGCGAACGGGGAGGAGCCCAGAGCCUGAAUCAGUGUGUGUGUUAGUGGAAGCGUCUGGAAAGGCGUGCGAUACAGGGUGACAGCCCCGUACACAAAAAUGCACAUAUUGUGAGCUCGAUGAGUAGGGCGGGACACGUGGUAUCCUGUCUGAAUAUGGGGGGACCAUCCUCCAAGGCUAAAUACUCCUGACUGACCGAUAGUGAACCAGUACCGUGAGGGAAAGGCGAAAAGAACCCCGGCGAGGGGAGUGAAAAAGAACCUGAAACCGUGUACGUACAAGCAGUGGGAGCCUCUUAAUGGGGUGACUGCGUACCUUUUGUAUAAUGGGUCAGCGACUUAUAUUCUGUAGCAAGGUUAACCGAAUAGGGGAGCCGAAGGGAAACCGAGUCUUAACUGGGCGUUAAGUUGCAGGGUAUAGACCCGAAACCCGGUGAUCUAGCCAUGGGCAGGUUGAAGGUUGGGUAACACUAACUGGAGGACCGAACCGACUAAUGUUGAAAAAUUAGCGGAUGACUUGUGGCUGGGGGUGAAAGGCCAAUCAAACCGGGAGAUAGCUGGUUCUCCCCGAAAGCUAUUUAGGUAGCGCCUCGUGAAUUCAUCUCCGGGGGUAGAGCACUGUUUCGGCAAGGGGGUCAUCCCGACUUACCAACCCGAUGCAAACUGCGAAUACCGGAGAAUGUUAUCACGGGAGACACACGGCGGGUGCUAACGUCCGUCGUGAAGAGGGAAACAACCCAGACCGCCAGCUAAGGUCCCAAAGUCAUGGUUAAGUGGGAAACGAUGUGGGAAGGCCCAGACAGCCAGGAUGUUGGCUUAGAAGCAGCCAUCAUUUAAAGAAAGCGUAAUAGCUCACUGGUCGAGUCGGCCUGCGCGGAAGAUGUAACGGGGCUAAACCAUGCACCGAAGCUGCGGCAGCGACACUAUGUGUUGUUGGGUAGGGGAGCGUUCUGUAAGCCUGUGAAGGUGGCCUGUGAGGGUUGCUGGAGGUAUCAGAAGUGCGAAUGCUGACAUAAGUAACGAUAAAGCGGGUGAAAAGCCCGCUCGCCGGAAGACCAAGGGUUCCUGUCCAACGUUAAUCGGGGCAGGGUGAGUCGACCCCUAAGGCGAGGCCGAAAGGCGUAGUCGAUGGGAAACAGGUUAAUAUUCCUGUACUUGGUGUUACUGCGAAGGGGGGACGGAGAAGGCUAUGUUGGCCGGGCGACGGUUGUCCCGGUUUAAGCGUGUAGGCUGGUUUUCCAGGCAAAUCCGGAAAACCAAGGCUGAGGCGUGAUGACGAGGCACUACGGUGCUGAAGCGACAAAUGCCCUGCUUCCAGGAAAAGCCUCUAAGCAUCAGGUAACAUCAAAUCGUACCCCAAACCGACACAGGUGGUCAGGUAGAGAAUACCAAGGCGCUUGAGAGAACUCGGGUGAAGGAACUAGGCAAAAUGGUGCCGUAACUUCGGGAGAAGGCACGCUGAUAUGUAGGUGAAGCGACUUGCUCGUGGAGCUGAAAUCAGUCGAAGAUACCAGCUGGCUGCAACUGUUUAUUAAAAACACAGCACUGUGCAAACACGAAAGUGGACGUAUACGGUGUGACGCCUGCCCGGUGCCGGAAGGUUAAUUGAUGGGGUUAGCGGUAACGCGAAGCUCUUGAUCGAAGCCCCGGUAAACGGCGGCCGUAACUAUAACGGUCCUAAGGUAGCGAAAUUCCUUGUCGGGUAAGUUCCGACCUGCACGAAUGGCGUAAUGAUGGCCAGGCUGUCUCCACCCGAGACUCAGUGAAAUUGAACUCGCUGUGAAGAUGCAGUGUACCCGCGGCAAGACGGAAAGACCCCGUGAACCUUUACUAUAGCUUGACACUGAACAUUGAGCCUUGAUGUGUAGGAUAGGUGGGAGGCUUUGAAGUGUGGACGCCAGUCUGCAUGGAGCCGGCCUUGAAAUACCACCCUUUAAUGUUUGAUGUUCUAACGUUGGCCCGUAAUCCGGGUUGCGGACAGUGUCUGGUGGGUAGUUUGACUGGGGCGGUCUCCUCCUAAAGAGUAACGGAGGAGCACGAAGGUUGGCUAAUCCUGGUCGGACAUCAGGAGGUUAGUGCAAUGGCAUAAGCCAGCUUGACUGCGAGCGUGACGGCGCGAGCAGGUGCGAAAGCAGGUCAUAGUGAUCCGGUGGUUCUGAAUGGAAGGGCCAUCGCUCAACGGAUAAAAGGUACUCCGGGGAUAACAGGCUGAUACCGCCCAAGAGUUCAUAUCGACGGCGGUGUUUGGCACCUCGAUGUCGGCUCAUCACAUCCUGGGGCUGAAGUAGGUCCCAAGGGUAUGGCUGUUCGCCAUUUAAAGUGGUACGCGAGCUGGGUUUAGAACGUCGUGAGACAGUUCGGUCCCUAUCUGCCGUGGGCGCUGGAGAACUGAGGGGGGCUGCUCCUAGUACGAGAGGACCGGAGUGGACGCAUCACUGGUGUUCGGGUUGUCAUGCCAAUGGCACUGCCCGGUAGCUAAAUGCGGAAGAGAUAAGUGCUGAAAGCAUCUAAGCACGAAACUUGCCCCGAGAUGAGUUCUCCCUGACUCCUUGAGGGUCCUGAAGGAACGUUGAAGACGACGACGUUGAUAGGCCGGGUGUGUAAGCGCAGCGAUGCGUUGAGCUAACCGGUACUAAUGAACCGUGAGGCUUAACCUUACAACGCCGAAG